rnacentral:ncRNA from 1 species
AUAUCAACAAUGAUGAAGAGGAGUAAAUAGUACACCUUUAAGAGAGAAAACCCAAGUGCUGAAAGGUUUUUAAGGAAAUGGCUAUUGAAGGUAGCUUCUGAGUUUCUACAUUGAAUGGAGUAGAUGUAGACGGUCGAAACCGUUAUAUUGAAAUUAAGUGUCUAUUUACAUAUAUUUUGUAGAUAGAAAUUAAGGUGGUACCGCGAAUAUAUCCUUCGUCCUUAUU